UAGCUGUAAACGAUGCGGACUUGGUGUUGGGGUGGCUUUGAGCUGUCCCAGUGCCGAAGGGAAGCUGUUAAGUCCGCCGCCUGGGAAGUACGGUCGCAAGACUGAAACUUAAAGGAAUUGGCGGGGGGAGCACCACAACGCGUGGAGCCUGCGGUUUAAUUGGAUUCAACGCCGGACAUCUCACCAGAGGCGACAGCUGUAUGAUAGCCAGGUUGAUGACUUUGCUUGACUAGCUGAGAGGAGGUGCAUGGCGUAGACGUCU
rnacentral:rRNA from 1 species